AACGUAGGGUGCAAGCGUUGCCCGGAAUUACUGGGUGUAAAGGGAGCGCAGGCGGACCGGCAAGUUGGAAGUGAAAACUAUGGGCUUAACCCAUAAAUUGCUUUCAAAACUGCUGGCCUUGAGUAGUGCAGAGGUAGGUGGAAUUCCCGGUGUAGCGGUGGAAUGCGUAGAUAUCGGGAGGAACACCAGUGGCGAAGGCGACCUACUGGGCACCAACUGACGCUGAGGCUCGAAAGCAUGGGUAGCAAACAGG
rnacentral:rRNA from 1 species